GCCCGGGUGGUGGAAUUGGUAGACACAGGGGACUUAAAAUCCCCCGGCUAUUGCAGCUGUGCCGGUUCAAGUCCGGCCCCGGGCACCA
rnacentral:tRNA from 1 species